rnacentral:rRNA from 1 species
UAGGGAAUCUUCCGCAAUGGGCGAAAGCCUGACGGAGCAACGCCGCGUGAGUGAUGAAGGUCUUCGGAUCGUAAAACUCUGUUAUUAGGGAAGAACAAAUGUGUAAGUAACUAUGCACGUCUUGACGGUACCUAAUCAGAAAGCCACGGCUAACUACGUGCCAGCAGCCGGGGUAAUACGUAGGUGGCAAGCGUUAUCCGGAAUUAUUGGGCGUAAAGCGCGCGUAGGCGGUUUUUUAAGUCUGAUGUGAAAGCCCACGGCUCAACCGUGGAGGGUCAUUGGAAACUGGAAAACUUGAGUGCAGAAGAGGAAAGUGGAAUUCCAUGUGUAGCGGUGAAAUGCGCAGAGAUAUGGAGGAACACCAGUGGCGAAGGCGACUUUCUGGUCUGUAACUGACGCUGAUGUGCGAAAGCGUGGGGAUCAAACAGG